rnacentral:rRNA from 1 species
GUGAGGAAUUUUCCGCAAUGGGCGAAAGCCUGACGGAGCAAUGCCGCGUGAAGGAUGAAGGCCUAUGGGUUGUAAACUUCUUUUCUCAGAAAAGAAUUAUGACGGUAUCUGAGGAAUAAGCAUCGUCUAACUCUGUGCCAGCAGCCGCGGUAAGACAGAGGAUGCAAGCGUUAUCCGGAAUGAUUGGGCGUAAAGCGUCUGUAGGUUGUUUAAAAAGUAUUCUGUCAAAGAUUAGGGCUUAACCCUAGAUAGGCAGAAUAAACUUUUAAGCUAGAGUUUGGUAGAGGCAGAGGGAAUUCCCGGUGGAGCGGUGAAAUGCGUAGAUAUCGGGAGGAACACCACAGGCGAAGGCACUCUGCUGGGCCAAUACUAACACUGAGAGACGAAAGCGAGGGGAGCAAAUGGGAUUAGAAACCCGUGUAGUCC